rnacentral:rRNA from 1 species
UACGUAGGGGGCAAGCGUUGUCCGGAAUCAUUGGGCGUAAAGCGCGUGUAGGCGGCUCAGUAAGUCCGCUCUGAAAGCCCGGGGCUUAACCCCGGGAGGCGGGUGGAUACUGCUGAGCUUGAGUCCGGAAGAGGCGAGUGGAAUUCCCGGUGUAGCGGUGAAAUGCGCAGAUAUCGGGAGGAACACCAAUGGCGAAGGCAGCUCGCUGGGACGUGACUGACGCUGAGACGCGAAAGCUUGGGGAGCAAACAGG